GAGGUCCUAGCUUAAUUAAAGUGUCUGAGUUGCAAUUAGAUGUUGCAGAUUUAAAUUCUGUGGGCCUU
rnacentral:tRNA from 1 species